UGCUGGUGAGCAAACAGCUUCAGUUAAUACUAGAAACUCCCUCCCACAGACUUCUUUGCAAAACCCGCACCAUUGCAAGAUUCGGGACUACUCAUCUGAGAAUCCAGGCUUUUCAAAGGAGAGAAGAAAUUCUCUAUUGUGCCUCUCUGGAAGGUUAAAAAAUAACCAAGAUCUUCCAGCUACUAUUGCAGAGUUUAUGCAACAGAGCUCAUGUGCAUUCCUUAUCUGCUUCAGUAUGAAGUCAGUUAGCUUAAAUAUGCUAUUUCUGUGCAGGACUUGGAGCAGGAGGGCACCAGUGACAAGUUCCUAUAUGUCAGCUGAGAGGAAUGUGUUUUCUGCUAUACCUUCAGCACCACCUUAUGCCAUUUUCACAGGUUAGAUGCUUCCUCUGCAACACCUCUCAUGCCUCUCAAUUUGUCCUGGUUAGUUGACGGAUUCUGGAUCACGUAGCAGCCUUGGGAAGCAGACAAAACCAGAAGCUAUUGUUUUCCUCCAAUUAAAUGUCAGCCCGAUUAGCAUUCUGAAAAUCUAAGUUGUAGUUUAUUUUUUUAAUCCCCAGCCUCAGUUACAUGUGCCAGAUACCUCUGGGGAUGUUGCUGGAC
rnacentral:lncRNA from 1 species